AGCGAACGCUGGCGGCAGGCCUAACACAUGCAAGUCGAACGAACCCUUCGGGGUUAGUGGCGGACGGGUGAGUAACACGUGGGAACGUGCCUUUAGGUUCGGAAUAACUCAGGGAAACUUGUGCUGAUACCGAAUGUGCCCUUCGGGGGAAAGAUUUAUCGCCUUUAGAGCGGCCCGCGUCUGAUUAGCUAGUUGGUGAGGUAAUGGCUCACCAAGGCUACGAUCAGUAGCUGGUCUGAGAGGAUGACCAGCCACAUUGGGACUGAGACACGGCCCAAACUCCUACGGGAGGCAGCAGUGGGGAAUCUUGCGCAAUGGGCGAAAGCCUGACGCAGCCAUGCCGCGUGGAUGAUGAGGGUCUUAGGAUUGUAAAAUCCUUUCACCGGGGACGAUAAUGACGGUACACGGAGAAGAAGCCCCGGCUAACUUCGUGCCAGCCGCCGCGGUAAUAC
rnacentral:rRNA from 1 species